AUUGAUUUUGAGGGUUAUGGUACCAACACUUAAGGAAUUAAGGGCCAAAAAUAAGCAUUUUUGUAACUUCCAGACAUAACUUGUGUGUUAGUGUAUGGAUCUCUCUGACAUUGUACCACAAGGUUCCGUAUCACAAAGGGAAUGCUGGGAUUGAUUUUGGGGGUAAUUGCCUCCAAAUUUUAGGAAUUAGGUGCCAAAAAGGGGCAAAAAACAAGCAUUUUUCUAGUUUCAUGACAAUAACUUGUGUGUAAGUCUAUGGAUCUCUCUGACAUUGUAUCACAAGGUUCCAUAUCACAAAGGGAAUGCUGGGAUUGAUUUUGGGGGUAAUUGCCCCCAAAUUUUAGGAAUUAGGGGCCAAAAAGGGGCAAAAAAAAAGCAUUUUUCUAGUUUCAUGACAAUAACUUGUGUGGAAGUGUAUGGAUCUUUAUGAAAUUGUACUACAAGGUUCCAUAUCACAAAGGGAAAGCUGGGUUUGAGUUUGGGGGUAAUUGCCCUAAACGUUUAGGAAUUUGGGGCCAAAAAGGGGCAAAAAAACAAGCAUUUUUCUAGUUUCCAGACAAUAACUUGUGUUCAAGUGUAUGGAUCUCUCUGAAAUUGUACUGCAAGGUACCAUACCACAAAGGGAAGGCUGGGAUUGAGUUUGGGGUGAUGAAUCAUAAGGGGGUUCAAAAAAUUUUGGGGGGGAUUUUUUUUUCCUUUUUUUUCUUUAAAAUUUUCCAUUUUAAAUUGGUUAUUUCUGAUUUAUAUAUAAAAGCAAAUAAUAAUGAUAUGGUUUGAAUAGGUAAAUUAAAAUUUUUUAAGUUCUUAAA